rnacentral:tmRNA from 1 species
GGGGGCGCAACGGAUUCGACGGGAUUGAAUUGUGAUGGGAAGGCGUGCCGGGUUCCGAGCUCCCGUAAAACGAUCGGAAAAAACACAAUUGCCAAUCAGCAAUUUGCAUACGCUGCUUAAUUAAUUAAGUAGCCGCUCCCGCCAUCGAGCCCGCGCGAUGGUGACGAGCGUCAUUUUGCGGGAUAGGUCCCAAGCUUCGGUCCGGAGCCCAAAACCGAGAUCAAUCGGACUAGGUGGCAGUUAUUUUGCCGGUUUUGAGGCUGCCAUCGAAACUAUAGAAUCGGAUACGCACGUAGUCGUUCCAUUGCAGGCUUUUUC